GCUAACCUUGCAAUAGAUUCCGUUAAGUAUGGAUGGUCCAGCGAAAACAUACCCGCGGUUGCUAUAUAAGAAAGUAGUGUAAAACUAGAUCAAAGAGGAGGAACUUAGAUUAUUAAGCGUAUAAAUCGGUAAGCAAUUUUCUUCGGUAAAAGUAAUUGCAACUACUGAGGAUGGUCCAGCUAUGCAGCUCGCCCGCUAAACAGUACCCAUGCCUUGGGACUGAUAUCGCCAGGACUGUGCCGCGGUCUAAGCCGUGUCCCACGGUACCGUGCCUGUUGAGGUGGACCGCGAUCGCUCAGUUGAGAAGGCGUGGACCUGGUGGCGUAUCUCAGAGAACUACACAUUUCAAGAAGCAAGCUGACAACACCAUCUAGGCGACAGAAAGCAGUUACCUGUUUGAAGAUAGCAUGGAAAACGUCCAAAGGGCUGUUUAGGUCGACACCUAGCGUGCCUCCGAGUGCCACUUCGUCGUUGGCUCGCUGUUCUUCGAAGACCUGCAGUUGCAGCAAUACACCGGGAUUUCCUUCCUUCCUGCAAAAUCACCAGAUCAAAUGCUCAGUGUUCAUAUGUUUGUGUGACCCUGGUGACAAACGGCAAGACUGAAGACACACUUGAGUGCUUCAAAGCACAGACUGUCAAGGGAGUCCCAUGGUACUACUUAAAGUACUAGUCAUCAACCCAUGGCCAGGCCAACUAAUGUACGAGCCAGCUGUCGUCAACUGCAACUCCUGUUUCAGUUUUUUUUUUAAACUUACUAUUGUCAGAGUUCACCAUCAAGGUAAGUCUGGAAGUCUGACGGGCUGACACUUGAUGCGGACGCAUUGCACAUCAAGUUAUGAGCUCGCCACCAAGUAACAUGCUUCACGCGCACUUCUGAGCAUAUCACUGGGCAGUCCUGCUUCUCUCUCUCCCCACACACACACAAGAAAUUGUCCUUACUGCACUUACUGAUGUUUUAUGUAACGUUAAGUGGAAAUGAAAUGAAAUGUAUUUGUUAUUGAAUGUUUAUUUGUGAUGAUGGUAAACAAGAUAUUUUGUGCUUCUGUAUUUUUUUUAAAAAGGUGACUUUGCCGGACUUAUCGAAGAAAGACCCGAGUCAAAUCCAGAAGCAUUAGUACUUGAAAAAUACACAUUUUCAAAUACGAAUAGUGUAUGUACCCUGUUAUAACACUUCACCCACACACCCACCCUACCCCUAAAUAGCAGUGUAUAUUGUCUGAUGCCUUUGGGGAUAUUCAAAUGACCAUUUUACUGACGCAAGUCACUUCGAACCCGGAGACCCAGAUACUGUUGUUCUGUGACAUGGUGUUUGUGGUAUGUAGCUCUCUACACAUCCAGGGUCUUCUCUCUCCCUUUGCUCUCCACCUUUGUAGCUAACAUUAAAUAGUGAAAUAAUAGCGACUGUGCUGACACUUAUGAAUGUGUCUCGAGCAUAUCCCUUCACUUUUGAAGAAGUAAACUCGGCGUGUUUGCACAAGGUGAGUAUAAUACCUGGGUGUCGCUGGCGCACGAGGCAGCUCAGGGGUCAAGAGACGACGGCGAUAAAUUUAGUCGAGCUUCUAGCCCCAGUGUUAGUACAGAGUGACUCAUUCGCUUUCUCCUCGCUGUAUACACGUAUAUCUACAAGAUCUUCCCUCUUGGGUGACACCGUGCGCCAUGUUAUGCAACGAAAAGUGCUCUAGAGGCGUCUGUCACGAAGCAAGCAAAAAGCUGUUAUUGCCGGCACUAUCAUCUCCAACGAAAUGCGUCUGUAUGCACUUGUUAUUUUAGCGAAAAAAAUGUCCUGUGGGCACAGUGAAACAGUUUUUAUGUGAAUUGUGGUUACAACAAAACAGUUUUCAAAGAUCAUUACAGGUAAACCGGUGUUACAGAGAAACGGUCUCACCUAGCACGUGGAAACCUCGGUGGUGCCAAGCAAUAAACCCCAGACAUCUCCUGUGAAUGGAGACUGAUCUCUAGUUAUGGGAACUGCAUUUUAAAGGAGGCUGCCCAAAAUAGUUUGGAUGGACAGGCGAGGGCUGGAACCCUCUUGAUUUAUACUUGAGGUUCAUUUCCGUUCAUGACCUGUAAGAGUCAUCGUUUAUUAUCAUAAACCUUCUGCCAAGUGAGCAGCUGCUCGGGUGCUUGAACUCUUUAUAAGCAAGUACUUUACCCUUUCCUGAAUGAUCCCAACAACAUCGUGUUACUUAUUUUUAAUGAAAGGCAUCCUGAACGCAUCGUCAAUAUGAAGCUUACCAUGUUUCAGUCAGUAUACACAUGUAUACUUCAUCUGUUCUUAUCCUAGCCUACACCCUUGUAGAAAACACGACAGGUAGGAGUGGCAAAUUUGACGACACUUCUUUUAAAGUGGUUUCAGCUGGUAUCUGGUCUUUGUGAGCAGAUACAGGUCUCUGGGCAGGUAGGCGUCACAAGUUUAUCAGGUUGAAUGAAAUAGUAAGUGGUUGGUUUUUUUUUUCUGGUCCCCACUGCCUUGAGAUUCGAGAAUUCCCCCUUUGUCGAAAUUAUCGGGUGACCCCACCGUCCUUCAUUCACCUGAUCUUAGGAUUUGUCAAAUCAUGUGCGACAACUGCCGCUGUGGCUCAGGCCGACGGUUACAUGACAGACAGAGAAAGCUGGCGAGUGUGAAUGUUGGGUGCAAGUAUGGCUGCGAUAUCGGAAAAGAGAUUAAACGAAAAAUGGCUAAACGGUGAGCUGAUAGUUCCCUAAAAUCUUUCUUGUUAAGUCGUCGAAUGACCCAGAGAGACGUACAUCGCACGCUCACGGCAGAAAUGUUAUUUGUAUUUCUUCAGACUGACAACUCAGACAUAUGGCUGGGCGGACUGACAAACGACAGACAAACGGACAGACAGACACUGCUACAUUGCACGGCAUGCAGAUUGUUUGCAUCAACGAGGUAACAAGGGGACAGAUGUGAGAAAUGCAGACUUUCAACGUCCGAAUAACCCGAACUGUCGCUGUGAUUGGUGUUGACUGCUGGCAAUGUUGUGAAUGGUGCACCAAGGUGACGUAGUACACAGUUAGAGUGACGUAGUACACUGCCAGCGGCGCUCGUUGAUCGCAGGUGCGAAUCGCGCACUUUGCCAGCGGAUAGUUAAUUAACGGAUGGGUUUUGGAAGCUGAAAUUUACAGGUUAUGUUUAUAUCGUGUAUAUAUACUGAUAUCUGCAAAAAACACAAACCAUUCAGGUAGGUCUUUAAAGGGUGGACUCGUACCCGGAUGAGACUGGUACAUGCGCACGGGGGAAAAAUAGUGGUGGGUUGGGGGUGGGGUGGAGUCGGUUUUCUUCCAGUGUCGAGUGCACAGCUGUGCUGUCUAUAUGCCGCCACCGAUUGACGCGACAUCAUUCAACACCUUCCCGUACCCCAACCCCGGACCUCCCUCCAGAAACCCUUGCGCACCCUGCUCAGCAAUGAAUCAUCGGGUGUUGACGACAGUGUGGUUAUGGAAUUAGGCACCAGUCCACCGUGGUGCCAAGAAGCCUAUCAUAUCGCUUUUUGAUUUAACCUUUAGAUUCCUGUUAGUCCUAUAAAUGUCUGUUGGGGUGACGUUGGCUGAGUUGGUUUGAAAAAUCACCUUGUGAAACUUUUUUCAGAUUCAACCCUUCUAAGAUAGGUGGCGUGUUUUUUCAACUUAUUCAUAAAUUUUAAAGUCCAAUAAACCAGACACACAGGCGCGGGUUGAAGAAGUGAAGAGCGUGUCCAGUCUGUCAGCUGAGAUCGUAGCCCAGGUCAUUGUUUAUAAGUGGUCAUGACACAUCCUUUCACACCCAUUCCCCCUUAGUUUCACGUCCAAGCUAGAAAUCGUGUCGAGAGCAGCGCCAUCUCAUGAAUAUGUAUGACAGCCCCCUGAGUUAAAAAUGACUCGAGUGGUGCCGCUACACUCACUUUCAACGCAGUGUUAUUGCUCCGCUGUUGUUGUUGUUUGUUUUUUUCACGUAUGCUCGCUGCUAGUUCUAGUAAUAUUCAGUCGGUUCGCUAACCGAAAGUAGUUUCCAUAACUGUCGGCCGUUACGUCAUGUUAAGGACAUGCGCCCUGAUUGCUACGUGAUAUUUUAGUCGUGACUGCAAGCUGUACCACGAAGAGAUGUCACGAGAGGACAAGAGGUUAUCUCCCUACCUGUUGCCUUUCUCUCUCUCCUCCCUUUCCCUACUCACGACCUGAGGGAAAAGCUAAUAUCGGAGUGGUUAGAGCAACGGUGUCCGAACCCGAAGGCUAGCAUAUUACCGGUUCAAUACCUGUGUGAUGCAGCGUACUGCCCAUACUCUCUCUUUCCCCUUCCAACCCCUCAACCACCAGUCGAUCCAGGAUGGGUACUUGGCUCCUGUAGAGGGUAGGGAAACGUCAGGGAGCGAGGGAGAGGAGAUGAGCAUCGCCCUCACAUAAAGCUGGUCGUGUGAAAAGUGUUUUAAUACUUCUCUCCCCGUUCGACCGUUGCGUCACGAGCUUCACUUUUAUGUUUUUCUCUCACCUCUUCAAUCUGGAAGGACGUCACUGUCAUCUCUGUGACUCCAGUCAAGAACCAUGGUGACAUGGCGAGGAAAAUACUGCAGUCCUUAAUUUAAAAUAAAUUUCUAAGAUACUAGGUUCAGAUCAGUGCACGAGUUACAGAGAACGCGCUCACGUGCGCGACCGCAUAUGAAAGUGUGAAGAAUGCAGGGACAAGAUCAGUCGAGGAACAGAUGCAAAGUCCAUUCACCUCGCAGCACCCGGCAUUAGGAUGCGCCAUGCUGGACAUCUAGUAUGACACUUCGCUCAUUCUCUCAUCUGACUGUUAGGAAGUCAGUGAAAAUGUUAGCUUAACAUUCAUUUUGUUUAAAAUCCUCUUUGCAGACAAGAAUGUGUUCUUGUACAUACUAUAUCAAGAGAUGCUGCUUAUGUCUGUUCUGCUAUCUUUGCGCAUGUACAGGAAACAAAAGCGAUCGUGAUCAUUCAAUCACUCUUCACGUCUGGCUUUCUGUCUGUAGCUCACACAGUGGCUGGUACUGCAAGAGAAAAAAAUUAAUUCAUCAAUGUCAUCUCUCUCUCUCUCACACACACACUGCAUUUUGCUUUUCUUUCUUCGGCUACAAAUGAGAGUAUAUUUCUCCCGAACACGGAAUAAAUAAACGGCCUUAUAGAAUUCUAUAUCCUAAUCAAUUCAUAAAAGCACUGGGAUUAGGUAAUUUAAAAUUCGUCUCAAGUAAUUUCACCGGCUCACUUUGUCCCAUAGUUAAGGGCGUGGUGACAAGUUGAAAAGUUUGAGUUUGUUUUAAGGCGUGGAAACGAAUUCAGACACAGAUCUCUCUCUCUCUCUCUUUCUCUCUCUUGUAUUACCACUUUGAUCAAACGAAUACAUCAGACUGUCGUCAACCUUCAGCCCGUUCAAGACCUUCCCUCCACCCGGGUUUGUAUAAGAUUAGUGCGAGCGAGCCAGGGUAAAAGAACGAAUUAUUUCUUCAGCGGUACCGCGUCGUUACCUCCCAAAGUCACGCUGUGUAAGAAAGCCCUCCGUCAACAAGUGUGCGCGUGUGUAGAAAUACAAGCCGAACAAGGGGAGGGACAGGCCUGUCAUCUGUGAAGUAUGUCACAGCCAGCAGAUGUCCUUUACAGAAAACUUCCAUUACAAGCAGCGACUGAGAUCUUGUUUUCUUUUCUUUUCCGUCACGCUUGGGUACUUUUUCCUUUACAAUUCAGUAUUUUAAAUCCAAGUAUUUUUAUAAUCGUGUACCAGUAAACAUUUGUGCUAGAAUUCUGUCAUUUGCAUCUGUCAGAGAAACAGGCCAACACUUAAGACUUUGAUAACAGUCGUCCCAGAGGUGACAAGGUCUCUGCAUUGCUGUUUGUUUUGAAGAAGUUACUUAUCGGAGGAAAAGGCCCGGGGUACCGCUGGGGAUUGGAUCUCCGCACGGUGCCGCUAAGCAACCCUUCACGACCUGUCGCCUGUCAUCCUACUAGAGUUGACGCCUAAAGUCGGGAGCAUUUAGCCCAGGUACAGCUCAUACCAGCCCACAACCAGCCCACCUGCUCUACAAGUUCCAGUGCAGACUGCAAAGGUUGUAAUGAUUGACGACCAGACGACAUACUUCAUAGAAUGUUGUAGGAUUUUUUUUUUUCGCCCUAAACCUAAUUCACUAUCAUAAACAGAGUUCAAACUCUAUACUCUUCCCAGUUAGAAAACCAGAAUCAAGCUGGGAAUGAUCGCCGAACCGAACAGUUCAGUAGUUCAGAAGAGGUUGCAUCCAAUGCGCGGCGACCAAGGAACCGGAGGUUACGGACCUCGCUGAGGACUGAUCCACGGUAAGAUUAUCGUUCAGCCUUUAAGAGAUCUCGUCAUUAAACUUAGAAGAAUAGUUCAGUUCCAACCCUUCCUGAUGACACGAAAAUUGUAAGGUGUCCACAGAACCAUUUAGACUCUUAAGGCAUUUUGUCUCCUCUUAAGAAGGCUACACCUGGUUCUACACAAACCUGGCAGGCACGACAGUGCCCACCUGUAUUUACAGGUAAUAAAUGCGGAUAAAAUUCACCAGCGAUGUGUGAGGCUGUUAAGGCCUAAGUACAAAUGGCAAUCUGAUUUAGCUUUCUGGAGGCCAACAGGAGCAGUGCUGAAGUCCUCACGUGACCACUUUCUUACCCCCGCGGCCAGAGUUUGGCACAUGGAGUGCGAAUUGGGAUCUCAGGAGAUUUGUCUUAUGAAGGUGCGAUCACGGUUUCCACACAAGUGGCCCAUUAUCUGCUCUGGCCAGACCUGAUUACCUGGCGAGAACCACUACAGCCUCCACCACCACCACCUUCUACCCGGGCGUCCGCCGGAGACUUGACUCUUGACCUUACAAACGGGGUGUGUGAGCGGGUAACAAGCCUAUCAGACUUCUGUCUGCAAAACUCCUGGUCAGGCCUGACGUCUACAGCGUGGUGGAGCUACUUGUUAUCAACGGGAGGGAGAGACCUUGUCAGGACUAGUUGAAGUUCUCAUUGUUCAUAACAGCGGUUUAUCACUCUUUCUCUCUCACUUGCUCUCUCUCUCUCUCCCACAAAUACACGCCAUAGACAGACCCUCGUGAAUACGUGUUCUACACAGGCACAAAGGGAAACAAGCACAAGAACAAAGACUCAUGCAUACGCAUUCACCUAGUGCUCAGAUGCAUUGUGCCGACUGUACGUGAGUUGUGAUCAGUAUACUACAACUCCGGUCCUUUCAAUGAUACAUAAAAUAAGGGCAUUAGUUGGAAAUUAUUUAUGGAUAGUUCGUCUGUUUUCAGCAACAACAUGUACAAUUAAGGUGACCAGACGUCCCGCUUUAGGCGGGACAGUCCCGCUUUUGACCUCUUGUCCCGCCUGCUCAAUGUCCCGCUUUCUGGCUUUCUAGCAAGUCCAUCAAAUGUCCCAGUUGUCUUUAAAAAUCACUUUUUUUCGACAUUCUUUGACGGUGACGACACCAUCACCGGCACGUGUCCCGCUUUCGCCCCGGAAACGUAUGGUCACCUUAUGUACAAUACUUUAAAUACAUAUGCGCUUUCGACGGCUCGCAUUUUCGACCCUGAUGUGUAAGGAUCCGUUUAUUUAUCAAGGCGAACAGGUGAGCCGUACGAUUUCUUUAAUUUCUCGAAAGCGCAUUUUUUCUCUUUUAACAAUUUUUGCAUUCGAGAUGUUGAUUAGUUCUAUGAAUAGCAUUUUUAUUAAGCAAUAUGCGUUCGCGUUCAGAUUGGUCUUUACAUGUGGAUUGGUUUCCCCCGUCUACCUGUAAAUCGCAUAGACAUGCAGGUGACUGACCGGACACUGCGGGUCGUGGGAGCUGUGCCAGGACCUGUUCACCUGCUGUUUGUGCACGCACUCCCACACCUCAUCGCGUCCGACACCCGACUAAAGGGAUACACAACACUCUUGACCCGCUCCCCUAGUUUCCCUCCAACACCUCCCCCACCGCUUUUCUCGCCAUCAUCCGCUUUUGAUGGAAGCCUAUGACACCCCGGGUACCUGCUGACCUCGUCCUUUGUCGGCGGUCAGCGAGAGUCUGUGCCUUCCCACCCCCGCAACACGUGACCUGAGUGAGGAAGUCUGUGUGCAGUUGAGGUUGGCUUUGGCAGGACGAACCCAGUUUUCUUGUCUGGCGGCUAAUUUAGAUAAGUGAUGAUUAGAGACGUGUUUGGUGUUGGGACUGAGAUGAGUGCCGAAGGUUCUCGCAAACAUGCCAUAAAAAGUCACGGUUCCCAUAACUUCACUUUCUUCAUACACGAGUGAGCGCUAUCUGGCCAUACUCUCUUCCUUCCCCACCCAAGUUUAACGCCAUUCUUUUUCCACCCGUACCUUCUCUGAUAAAUCAGAAGUUUCCCCAAAAUCCACCUUCAAGGAACUGAAAACUGUACGACUGAUGGGAUGAUGGGAUGAUGGGAUGUAUUUAGUGGUAAGGAAGCUGCUGGUACGACUGCUGCCCCGGCACUCCAGCCUGACACUCCAGGCGACAAUCCUCUCAAGCGGCGUUUCUCAGUCCAUCCCAUGUUUACCGCGUAUUGUUUGUCCUGGCGCUCUGUACUUCAUUUCUGUCAGUACUACUGUCCGCCAUCCUCCACUCACUCUGCCACUCCCCCUCGUUGUCUCACGCGCACUUUUGGUCAGUUUCUCUUUUUCUCUCCACUUCGCUCUCUUCUCCUUCUCUCUAUUCAAAGCUAGAAGUUGUGAAGUUGUCAGGGAGAAACUAGCCUUCCAUCAUGCUCUCCUGCCCUAAACUUCUUGGACUUCUGACAAAAGGCCGAUGAAAACCUCAAAUAAAGUGCUGCUAUUUUUUCGUUCCUGUUGCUAUUAUCUUUCUUCAGGAAUUCAGCAUUGUCUUCUCAUAGCAAUCAUCUUCUGUAUAAAAUCAGGAAUACUGUACAGAAUCUUCCCGAUAAGUUUGCUGUCUGAAUGUAUAACAUUGGAUUCAUUAAUCCAGGUAAUUCAGUUAUAAAUUAAUAACACAAUAUGAUGGUUUUGUGUGUGCCAUUAGUCCAACAAAACUACACUUAACAUGGAUGACCAACCUACAAACAUUCCAAGAAGCAGGGCUAAUUGUAAAUGUACUGUGAAACUAAACUGCACUUUCUUGAUUUAGUCAGCAUUUUCUAAAGACUGUUUCCAUCCUUUUCUGUUUCCGAAGAAGAAGAAGAAUAGUAACUUCGGUAACAUCAGAUUCACGUGUGGUGGAAGAAGUUGGACCACAUAAAAGCCAGAGUUAGCGCCAGUUUAGUGGCAAUAAAAGUCGGCCCCUCUGAGCUGCGAUCCCUGUUCCAAGCAUGUGACUGUCGUCAGGCCGACACCGACAAAAAGCCUGCAGGUAGGAUUCGUGUGUCAAGACCUGCCGAACAGGUAAACUGGCAAGAAAGUGUAGCUACAUUUGACAGCACUCAGGUGGACCACAUGCCGCGCCGGUGAAGCCGAGCAAAAGAUACUUUCCAAUGAAGAGCUUCACGGACUGAGUGUCAGGCGACGGUGAGUCUGCAGUGCUCAUCCUUUCCAUCAACACCAGUGAGACCACCGAGACGAGCUCUUCACUCUGUCAUCACAACCUCCCCUGACCCACUUUCCCCUCGCUAUUUAUUUAUUUUUUGAACUUUCACGAGGAGUUAGGUUUGUCUUACGAUCUUGAUGUUUCGCUUUUCACAUUUUGUCAGGUGACAAACUUUGAUUUGUUAAAGCUCAGUAGACGUGUGAGGAGUUCUAGUUGUUAUGCAGUUGCAUCUUUCGCAUAUUUCAUGUAAGAUAUGUUUGUUGACUGAUUUAUUUGUCUGUUCGUUCAGAAGACCAUUACUUUCGAAAUGGUGCUAGUGAUGUUUAAAUCGUAUUAUGAAUGUCUGGGCAGUGACUGUAAUAAAAGCAAAGUAUCUUGCCUUGACUACUCAUCAUCUCAGACCUGAUUACAUUGGCUGGUGACCAACUCAUAAUUUGGUUGCUUUGCCACCGUAAAUGCUACGGUGAUAUUCUUGUUAUAUCACCUACAACGUCGAUGUCACCAUGCGCAGACUCGUCUAUACGAACGACCAAACCGCUGUUGCCAUUCCUAUUUGCUUCAAGUUAUCCUCUCAUCGGUUUCUCUGCGACGAUAACAAAAACGUGAGCUUCACGUACGCCCAUUUCUGCAGACGAUAGACUUGACCACAAGAUAACGGGAUGAUAGCAAGUUAAGGAGACAAAUACGUAGUUAUCGGCGCCUAUACAUGUGUACACCUUGCCAUCCUCAGCGAACAUUAGGGACGGUCGUUUGACAGUCUUCACUAGCGUGUCACAGAUGAGUGCGCUCCGAGUGCUGGGCUCACUGCUUUUUUUUUUAUCAGGUGCCGUCAACAGUCUGCUGGCACAUGUCACGCUCCACUGGCCUUCCCCUCCCCUUACCACUCCCCAACCCCACAAUGUCGCAAGAGUCGCAAGUGAUAACAGCGCCGCUUGAGAGCUUUUCAUGGCGAGCGCACACGUCAGUGGAAACCAGACUCCCCUCAGAAUCACGUGUCCAUGCAGCUUAUGCCUGCGCAUUUGUGUAGAAAACAUAAACCUCAACAACCUCCUAACCCCAUCCCUCCCAACCCACUCUUCUCUGGCUCCCGCCCCUCAAAUAAAAAUGAGAAGAAUUAAUCUGCCGUGUCAAGGGAAGAAUGCACGACGUCUCAAGCAGGCACGUUUGCCGAGCUCAGGUAAUCGGCCGUUGUGUCUUCACUUGUGUUAUGGUGUUUGCGAUGGUUUCAAGAUUGCAAUACAGAAAACCACACACGCACACACACACGCACACGCACACGAGUGUGCACAUGCACAACAUUUCGCAUGCCAGGCUAAGUUCCUGAGUUCCGGCGACUCAGCUCCGCGGUCCUGUCAAUGAACCAUCAUGACUGUUAUUCAGCAGCUUGACUAGCCAGAUGACCACAAACAUUUCUGGGUUGUGAAAAUACAAAGAGUGCACGUCUAUUUUAAUUGUUUCACUUUAUUUAGCAGAAAAUACGUGCAUGCAGGUGAAAAAUGAAUAUGUAGACAUUUACAUUGCCUCUGAGCUAUUCCUUUAAUUUGUGCAAAAUAACGUUGCAGACGUUAUUUCACAAAAAAAAAAAAAGAAAAAAAACUUUAAUGCAGCUUUUAUUUCCCACUUUGCAUAAUUCAGAUAUUACCACACAUAAGAAACUUUCGGUGUUUCCUUUUUUCUUCCUCUUCAACGCUUUUUCCCCCCUCCUCUCCCCGAGAAAGAUGGGCGGACUGGCGCUGUAGAGCAGUAUGUUGACAUCAUGUGGCGGGACGACACGCACGACUGCUCUAAUCUGCAUUUAUACAUGCAGCAGCAAACGUCACAACACAACCAUAACUUUCGACCUCCAAAAAUCUCCUCGCACAUAGCAGACCGCGGGCAGGAUCAGGGUCAAGGUUCAAGUCGGGAUUAGGAGUUUUUCAUUUCUCGAUUUCGUCACAGAAUGCUUGGCUUCGCGAUUUAUUAUAGAUUAAUUACUAUCAUUAUUCAGCAAAUCAGCCAACGAUAUUGUUUCUGAUUAAUUUUAUUUUCCUCUCAGCCUUUUGUGAGGGCUGAAGAACGUGCCGACGUUCACUUUCCUGUUUGGGAUUCAGAACAUGCGCACUGAAUACAGUACUUACACACCUGUCUUUAUUGUUCAGCUGUUAUUUACACGCCUCACAGCUGUGAGGUCCUUCAAGUAAGAACUUACAGCUGCAGUCGUGGGAGUGUCAUUUUUCAGGAACACGUAGACUCGCCAUUAACAUUAACAAAUACAAAAAAACUCCUUGUCUCGGUGUCUGCUGUCGGCGACAAGUAAGUUACGAACAGCCAAGCACCUUAUUUUUGUUGUUGGGUUUUUUUUAACAGUAGAGGGUGUGAUGCGGACAAGAGCGCUUAGAAAUGACAGCUUAGUACGUCUUUUUUUUUUCUUUUCUUUUUUUUUUUUUUUGAGAAUAAACCAUGACUCAUGGUUAGCGUCGAGAAAGGUGGUUAAACUCCUCCUGACUGACCUAUAUCACAUUUGCAAGAACACCUGAACGAUGGAGAAGGUAUAAAGUACCAGAGGUUCAUGUUAACAAAGACUGUGGUUCACCAUGUGAAGGGACGUGGAUAGAGUCUGUUCGUCAUAUGGGGUGGGUGGGUUGGCCAGCAACCCAGUACAUUAAUGGUCUAAGGGUCUCAGGUUCAAAUCUCGCCUCGGAGCAGAUUCAUUUCUGAAUGUGACAGCUCGUUGAAUGUUUUACUUGGGGUUUUCUGGUUUUGUCUUUCUUCCUCCGUCGUGAAAAAUUACCAAAUGAUAGAAAGAAGCUGUCAAAAUAAACCGAGCCUGGUGCUCAGUCAUACCAACAACUUAGGAAUCCCAAAACAUCCCGACCAUAAAUCACGACGGCCUUGUUUUUUAGUUGUUUUUUUUUUAUAUUUGGCUCAAUCAUUUGCACGGAAAUUAAUCCUUUCGAUGACAAAUCUUUUCAGCAUGACGGUCAGCCGAGAAACAAGCAUUCGUAUAUCUGCUACACUAUUCUCAGAGAGAGGGAGAUUGUGUGUUCUCAUUCGCAAACAAAGAUUGUCACUGCAGCAAAAGCAUUUUCUUUUGACUCAGCAGGGCAGAGCUUCUGUUUUCCUUACUUGCUUUAUUGUAGACUCGAGUGUCGGAAAGAUAAGAGGACGCCCAGUUGCAAUUUUAGAUCGAUUAACUGAAACGUCAGACGAUAAGCAGCGGGUAGGUGGAGGCCACCCCGGUGUCAAGUCCAAAGCGACGCUGUUAUGGGCUGCGUAGGUAGGAGGCGAGUCCUUGCAGGUCUUGCGGGCGGAUUGGUAUGACAUGACAACCUUCCACGUAACAAAAACAUCAGCAAACAUCCCGCGAGGUUUCCCACCCGACACGGAGAAGGUGGGCCGAUAAUCCGUUUGCUAACAGAGAGGAUAGCGCGAUCGCUGCUAGUUCUGAAAGGAUACUGCCACCUAGGUUCCUAUUCAUGAAGUACAUUUAGCGAGCCUGUUACCCUACCCAAGCUGCUAAAUUGCUACCCGCAGUUAGCCACUAAACCCCCCUAUACAUGGACUCAGGGUACGCCUACCCACCUAAAUUCUUCAGCCGAUAAUUUAUCAGAGGAAUCCCCUUCCGAACGGUUUCUUCCAUAUAGAGUAAAUAUGAUGGAGGUUGUAAUUGAGUUCAACAAAAGCGAGCACGGGGGCAGUGGGGGGUAGUUGGCGUGAAUGGGUGUUUCAGGGCGACCCAGCAGCUGAGGUUACAUCACGACAGUAGCUGGUCAUGUUUCAUAUGCAGAGAAAGAACAGAGUACAAAGAAUUUUUCUGGACCUUAUAAACUGGACAGAUGUAUGACACAUAACUGUUUGAUUAAUACCUUUUUAUAUUGAACUAAUAUGAGAAGAGCAGACGUCAUAAAAAGCGAAACGAAACAUUUUCAUGAGACAUGGCGCCUUUGGAUUUUCUCCGCUAGUCAUUUGUUUCGAAAUGAAAUUUUCAUAUUUUUGUUGUCUUAUAUUUACUCGAGGACAAUUAUUAAGUGGUCAGAAUAAAUAGAUCCUCUAGCUUCUUGCCUGCUGUUUUAUUUUUGAAAAAUGUUUCUCGUAUUGUAUGUUUCUCGCUCCCUCCUUUGACUAAACGACGCAUGCGCAAUGACAUUUUUGCUCUAGAGUUCCCGCUGUGCCGCUCCUCAGAGGCUAAUGAAUCAGGAGUUAGUUUGCCUGUCGGGGUAACCUAAUCACAUAGUUCCCUACUCAAGUUACCGCAGUUUUAUUAUCCAUGGGUAUAUUGCCGAUGUCCAUAAAUACCAGCCUUGGGUGUUCAUACGGAGGACAGCGAGACCUGAAGACUGUUACAGUGAGGAACAGGUGACAGCAGGCUGUAGAGGACUGCAAGGUGCUCGUCAAGACUUAUGAGGGGCAGGACGUCCGACUUAACAAGACUAAUAAACACAUCUAUUUUCCUGGCAGUCACGGAAAGUGUCUUCACAUCGCGAUGACGUGACGUGACCCCGAAGCAAAAGACGAUAACAACGAACGUGCCAACAACACUCUGUCUCUCUCUCUUCACUCUCUACCUCAGUUUUGCUUACAAGCUCGCUCAAUCUGCCCCUCCUAAAUGUUUACGAGAGUACGUGCCUGAACAAUGAACACGCGGAGGUACUAAGCACACGAUGAACAGUAGCUGGGGGUAAAAAAAUAAACCUCCCCCAAACACAGCUAGAAUGGAGGGACGAGCGAAUGACUUGACGGGAAGGAUGCCUCAACCUCAACAACGACUGUUUACAGGCACGUAUGACGGAAGUGUAAACAGACCGACAGGACAGCUAUGAAAUCACAGGCCAAGUAAACAAUGAGUAUAGUCUUGUUAGGUGGCUACAGUCUGGCUAUGCUAGUCAUAGUCAAAUACCUGAUACACGCCCACCAAGCUAUGACCAGAGCAUGGAAGAAAAUUCAUGACAAAUUAAAUGUUCUUGAUUAAUUCCUGGUUUUACCCCUUAAUGAAUGAGUACGAUCAUAGAGUUCUAGAAUUAAAAUUCUUCACCUUACGGGGAGACAAAAAGGAGAAUAUUGUGAAAAAUAGCAUGUACAAGCUUCGAAAGAACAAAGUUCGAAGGUCUUUUAGUUCGUUGCUUUGUCCUUCAGACUGUCAUUAAAUGGAUGAUGUGCAGUUUCAAAGUGUCGCUAGAUUUUGUGCUAACCUCUCGAAAUAAAGGUUAAAUAGAAGCACAAGAGAACAGGGGAGGGUUGUGGUUGGAUUGGACCUGAGGAGGGACAGAGUUAAAUCACUGUUGUCAGAGCACGGCUUAUAGGUCUGAAAGAGAAGCGAUCUUGACUGAAGAUUCAACCCUCAGAUAGCCAUCGAGGCAUGCCAUCUCAUGUUUCACACACACACAUAUACUUCAAAGUGAGCUUUUCUCUCUUUUUUUUGUCCCACACGUGCGCACGCAGAUCCACGCAAGCACGCGCGCACAGACACAAAUUCAAAGCUGGCUUUCCUAAAUAACUCAUCAUUCUAUACAUUCUUGUCCCUGCUGUCGUUGGGUCCAUACACUGGCGGCACAAUGUAUGUAUUCUUCCUCCCUUCACGAUCGCAGCCCUCGCGAAGAUCCUUUAGAAACUGUGAGAAGUUUCCGAAACCCACAAAACUAUGUCAGCAGAACCACUCGCUACUCCAAAACCUCCGAGACUUGGCAACCUGAGAAUGUGCUAAAUGCGAAAUGAACCCUUAUCUCUCUGACAUAUUCCGUCACAGUCGACUGCUUCACUAGACUGACGGUUAGAACUUGAACUUUUUUUGUUAUUCGUAUUAUUUCGAGUCCAGGUGGUA